CCCGCUGAGUUUAAGCAUAUCAAUAAGCGGAGGAGAA
rnacentral:rRNA from 1 species